AAGGCUCAUAGAGCAGCUAGUAAAAGGUUACUUCCGCAUGGGUGUUAACGAGCUGAAAAGUUUGAAUAGUAAACUGUUUGAAUAGGGCUGUCAAAAAUCAAAAGACAGGGACAAGAUACAGCUAUGCCUUGGCCACCAGGGGUCAGUAUGAUACUGUUCUGCUGACAGACGAAGAAGAGUGUCACACAACUAUUUGCCAUCAGGAUAAAGCAGACUUCAGGGAAGACCAUUUAUGCUAAUUAAUUAAGAAAGCAUCUGAUUAAUGAGAGGUAAGUGCUCCUAAUUACACACUCAACACAUUAAUCAAAGCUGAUAUCCAACCACAGUCGUUUUUUUUAAUUAUUAUUGAUGCACGCACUUGAAUUCAUUUGACUAAUGAAUCAUUGACAGACAUAGCACACCCAGCGGAUGACCUCGGGCGUUUUCUCACAAGAGACUUGUCGCCACUUAACACGCACACGCAACCACGUGCUCACAUCUCAAGGGUAUAAUUUUGCGCCGUGUUACAUGCGUGUUAAAAGGGGCCGCGGUCUGUCACAGCAGGGAAGAAGAGUCAUGUCAAGAUGAUGAAGUGGGAUUGUUGUCGAGGAAUGAGGAACAAAGUAGUUCUUAUGUGGCCCACGGGUCAACAAAGUUGUCGCAACAACCAUUUUGAACGAGUGAAGUAAUUUGACGCUGUAAUCAAAAUCAUUGUUACACUGAAUUGAUCAUCAUUGUCCUUUUCUUUGCCUGACACACAGUCAAGUCACACCGUUGCCGUUAAUCAUCAAUAACAAUACCUUAUUUGUCAGGGAGGAGUGUUUACAAUGGGACGUAGCCCACCCCACCUGUCCCACCUUCUGUCAAACCACCACAGUGUGUCAGUGUGCCACCAAUUACCCAGCGCAACUUGAAUGAGGUCAUAACGGGAUGGGGUCAUUAGCAAAACAAACCCGGCAACCCCCGUGGCGGUCGGGGUAGGGAGGCUUUUUGGAGGGAUCGGGGUGUGGGCGGAGGGAAGAGGUGCUCGAGGGGUAUGUGUCCAGUACCGGACUCGCUUUUUGUGUGUCUCAGUAACCCCAUCAGACUUUGUAGGAAGACAUGUGCGACCAUCAAAACCGAGGCAGUGGUUUUAUCCCUAAAAAAAUAUAUAUUCAUGGCCGACCCACAAAUCUUCUUUUCUGCAAUAUUUUGUAAUUAGUGAAUUUCAUCUUUAUAAAUAGCAUUCUGCAAAAAGGUUUACCAGAGGAUAUUAUACAUUAUAUAUAAUGCAAUGCAAUACAGGUGUGUCAUGAAAUAUUCCGAGGCUGCGGUUACAAGGUUUGUCAGUGAUCAUAUAAUUUAAAAUAGCCACGCUAAUAAAUGCUAGCAAAGCGCGUUGACAAAUAUUAGAUGCUAUUAGCGAGGAGCGAAGCCUGUCCGCUUUGCGCGCGCGUGUCUGCGGGUGCGCGUCCAUAUUUGUGUUUGUAUACCUCUAUUGUGACGCGUGUAAUCCACAUGCGCUCUAAUCCCAGAGCAGGUGGCCCUGCGUGUGGCGGCUGCGGGGGUUGCGUCGCGGGGCACACGCUCACGAGAUUGAGCCACAUCCACACAACAAAGCUCUGUGUUGUCCGCACUCACGUCGCUCUGUGUACCCCUUAAGCCCGGUGUGUACCGAGCGACGCGACCAAUCAGGUGUUUCGCCAAUUAAAAAAAAAUGGCCGCCUUACUGUGCCUCUUCCAAUCAAUUUAAUUGGUAAUGGGAAAGUGGCGAUAAACAGUUUAAAGGUGAUUUUGCGCACAGAUAGAAUACAUCGUAUUUAGUAAUCAAAUUCCUAAUAUUUUCUUAAAUUUACUUAACGCUACAAUCAAUUUCGCAUUGGAAAAAAAAACAAAUAAAAGGAUUGGACCGAGCUAGCAAGUCACUUCGUUAACAUCUGUUUGGCACACCCAUCUCGUGGAUGUGAUUUUGAGGAUUAAAUUGAUGUCAUCUGUUUCUCGCCAUCUCCCUGUCGCUCUUUGAUAAAGAGAUUUAUGAUGUGCACCCGCUAAUGGUCAUUCGUUAAAAGGGCGGGAGUGUUUUAUUGGCGGAACAUUCGUAAAUCCGUUCCAUUAUGGCUAAAUGGAUAGAAAGAACCAUUAAGUAGGCAUUACAUUUAUAGUAUUUUUAUUUUUUUUACAUAUUCUGGAUUUUUCUUGAAACCCGGAAUCGGAUUUGUGUAUGUUUUAGCAUUAAUAUAUUAGCGCCUAACUUCAUUGUGUGUUAAUGAUAAAAAAUAAUCUGUGUGAUUAUUCCUACAGAUAUGUGAGUGGCAUUUUUGGGAGUUGACUAAUGGAUACACAAAUACAGUUCUUCCUAUCCAGUAAAUUGCAAAUUGAAUCCCCGACGGCCGUUUUGCGUCUCGUGAAUUUCUGCAACGGACCGUCUCACUCCGGCACACAAGCGCCAUUGUCUCGCACAUUCAAAUGAGAUUCCACGAGUGGAGCAGCAGUGUUGUUGUCGUCGUCAUCGCGGAUGAAUUAUGUAUGCGCUGCCGUGUUGAUGUGUGAUAGAAUGUAGGACACAUACUUAUGCAUAACAAUAGUCUACAGUUGUGUUCUCACCAACAAAAUUGGCCGCUUAGCUCCCACGUUCGCUUUUUAAUGCCAUUGCUGCUACUCGCCUUUGACAGUUGCUCAGUUGCCCCGGUCUACUUUCACUCCUUUCUUUUGUUUCUGCAACAAACAAAAAAAAAAGUCACACAGCUGAUCUCAUAAUUAUACAAGUCUAUAUCAGCCCCCCCCCUGCUCCCUUUGUCCGUCCCAAUGGGACUUUUAUUCAAAAAUCGUCCGUUUUAAACGUUUCUUGAUGUGCGGCGUCGCGCCUUUCCUCGCUCCCAGACACUAAUUGACCUUUCACUUAUGAGACAUGUUA